CGCACCGUGGAUCCUAGGCAUAUACGUCUACGCCUAUUGGAGAUC
rnacentral:misc_RNA from 1 species